GGGGAAUAUUGCGCAAUGGGCGAAAGCCUGACGCAGCGACGCCGCGUGAGGGACGAAGGCCUUCGGGUCGUAAACCUCUUUCAGCAGGGACGAAGCGAGAGUGACGGUACCUGCAGAAGAAGCACCGGCUAACUACGUGCCAGCAGCCGCGGUAAUACGUAGGGUGCAAGCGUUGUCCGGAUUUAUUGGGCGUAAAGAGCUCGUAGGCGGUCUGUCACGUCGGGUGUGAAAACCUGGGGCUCAACCCCGGGCCUGCACUCGAUACGGGCAGACUAGAGUUCGGCAGGGGAGACUGGAAUUCCUGGUGUAGCGGUGAAAUGCGCAGAUAUCAGGAGGAACACCGGUGGCGAAGGCGGGUCUCUGGGCCGAUACUGACGCUGAGGAGCGAAAGCGUGGGGAGCGAAC
rnacentral:rRNA from 1 species